UAAAGAUGACUGCAGAUGGUGUCCAAAAAGCCAAAGAAGAAGCCUCUCAAGUGUCUUCAUAACCACAGAUGUCAGGGCCACCGGUCUGUAGUCUUUGACCCCUGAUGGCCUCCCGACCUUGGGCACUGGCACAAUGCACGCGGUCUUCCACUGCCUUGGCACCUGCCCUAUCUGCAGGCUCUGAAUGAAGAGCACCUGCAGAGGCACUGCCAGCUGCACAGCACAGUCCUUCAGGAC